rnacentral:tRNA from 1 species
CGGUAUAGCUCAGUCGGUAGAGCAACUGAUUUGUAAUCAGUAGGUCGGGGGUUCAAGUCCGUCUACCG